GACGAACGCUGGCGGCGUGCUUAACACAUGCAAGUCGAACGGAAAGGCCCUGCUUGCAGGGUACUCGAGUGGCGAACGGGUGAGUAACACGUGGGUGAUCUGCCCUGCACUUCGGGAUAAGCCUGGGAAACUGGGUCUAAUACCGGAUAGUAGCCAUUUUUAGUGUGAUGGUUGGAAAGUUUUUUCGGUGUAGGAUGAGCUCGCGGCCUAUCAGCUUGUUGGUGGGGUAAUGGCCUACCAAGGCGGCGACGGGUAGCCGGCCUGAGAGGGUGGACGGCCACAUUGGGACUGAGAUACGGCCCAGACUCCUACGGGAGGCAGCAGUGGGGAAUAUUGCACAAUGGGCGCAAGCCUGAUGCAGCGACGCCGCGUGGGGGAUGACGGCCUUCGGGUUGUAAACUCCUUUCGCUAGGGACGAAGCUUUUUGUGACGGUACCUAGAUAAGAAGCACCGGCUAACUACGUG
rnacentral:rRNA from 1 species